AGCGAACGCUGGCGGCAGGCCUAAUACAUGCAAGUCGAACGGAUCCUUCGGGAUUAGUGGCGGACGGGUGAGUAACACGUGGGAACGUGCCCUUUGGUUCGGAACAACUCAGGGAAACUUGAGCUAAUACCGGAUAAGCCCUUCGGGGAAAGAUUUAUCGCCAUUGGAGCGGCCCGCGUCUGAUUAGCUAGUUGGUGGGGUAAAGGCCUACCAAGGCGACGAUCAGUAGCUGGUCUGAGAGGAUGAUCAGCCACACUGGGACUGAGACACGGCCCAGACUCCUACGGGAGGCAGCAGUAGGGAAUCUUGCGCAAUGGGCGAAAGCCUGACGCAGCCAUGCCGCGUGAAUGAUGAAGGUCUUAGGAUUGUAAAAUUCUUUCAGCGGGGACGAUAAUGACGGUACCCGCAGAAG
rnacentral:rRNA from 1 species